UACGGAGGGGGCAAGCGUUAUUCGGAAUUAUUGGGCGUAAAGGGCGCGUAGGCGGCCAGAUGAGUCAAAGGUGAAAUCCCUCGGCUCAACUGAGGAACUGCCUUUGAAACUGUCUGGCUUGAGGCCGGGAGAGGGUAGCGGAAUUCCCAGUGUAGCGGUGAAAUGCGUAGAUAUUGGGAGGAACACCAGUGGCGAAGGCGGCUACCUGGACCGGUUCUGACGCUGAGGCGCGAAAGCGUGGGUAGCAAACAGG
rnacentral:rRNA from 1 species